GCGCACAUACAAAUACAAUAGGGCUGUUCGGGAUCUUGUGCACAUUCUCUUGGAUUUGCAUAUUCGUUGCAUUUGUAAAUUCACAACAAUAAAAUGCACACCGUUGCCAAAAAAAUGUA